rnacentral:rRNA from 1 species
GCUUAGCCUUAAACUUAGAUAAUACUAUUACACCCAUUAUCCGCCCGGGUACUACGAGCACUAGCUUAAAACCCAAAGGACUUGGCGGUGCUUAAUAACCCCCUAGAGGAGCCUGUUCUAGAACCGAUAACCCUCGUUAAACCUCACCCCUUUUUGCCUAUUCCGCCUAUAUACCGCCGUCGUCAGCUUACCCUGUGAAGGACUUAUAGUAAGCACAAUUAGUCUAAACCCAAAACGUCAGGUCGAGGUGUAGCAAAUGAAGGGGGAAGAAAUGGGCUACAUUUCCUGUGAUCAGGAUACACGGAAAGUGCUCUGAAAAAGGCACUAAAAGGAGGAUUUAGUAGUAAGUGAAGAUCAGACUGCCCCACUGAAACCGGCCCUUAAGCGCGC